rnacentral:lncRNA from 1 species
GGAAGGGUGCCAAGGUAAUGUAUGGGCUGAAGGAUUAAUUCAUGGAAAUAAUAAAUUUAUGGAAAACCCCAGAGGAACAGUUAAUACACAGAAACCAUGACAGAAUCAGGAGUUCUGGGAACAGAAGAGAGUUAGAAGCUUCAAGAAGGGUUCUAGAAGGAAGAGUCAAAGAUGCUGGUCUUCCUCAGUUUGUGUUGAUGCCCCACUACGAGGCAGGAUAUUAGGCUAGGUAGACCUCUGCUCUGGUCCAGAAAUGCUCUUUUUAUUUAUACAGAUGCAAAAGUACAUAACCUAUUUUGAAAUAACAAGACAUAGAAUGUUCCUUUGAAAAAAUACCUUAGGAAUAUUUUUGAAGAUGACAGAAGUGGCAGAGGAUCUCAAUUUUCCCACUUGCAUAUCUAUUUAUUUAUUUAUUUAUUGUUUAUAGCUUUUUAAUAAAAUAUUGCUCUUUCAUUAACUUCUCACAAACUAGUAAUGUGUUUAAAUAUCUGCAAAACAAAAGACCAUCUCACCAGCUGUAGUGGUGUAUCUGCAGUUCUAGGACAAGCAUGGCCCUGCCCAUUGUUGUGUAGCUUUAAACUGAUUGUCUCUGAAUUGUGACUCUUUGAGCAAAUGGAGACUAUCACAAAGGAAACAAAUGACUGCAGAGGGAGAGUGGAGCAAGCUUUCUAAAAUUAUCAGGGCAAGAAAAAGAAACAAGAACCAAAGUGGAAGAACAGAAAACACUCUCUUAGAAGAGAGUAAGCUGAAAAGAAGCAUAUCAGGACAGAAAGUGGACAGUGAAGCCUCCAAAGCCUCAGGAAGAAUUAGGAAACAUUAGAAGAAAAAGAAAUGAAAACCCUCUCCAUGCCUUGUGUUCAAUCGCCUUGCCUCAUUUUGCGGAUGGCUCUAAAGUAGACACAGGAUUUAGAGUACCAGGACCACCACUAGUAUUAAACCUUUGAUUAUGGCAUCAUAUCAUGGCAAUGCUAGAGCCAGGAAUGUGAGUCUGUUUUUUUCCAAGGAUCUUAUCUCAAUAAAUGAUGACAGAAAGCUGCUGUGUUUACGGAC